GACGAACGCUGGCGGCGUGCCUAAUACAUGCAAGUCGAACGAGUGGCGGACGGGUGAGUAAUGUCUGGGAAACUGCCCGAUGGCGGGGGAUAACUACUGGAAACGGUAGCUAAUACCGCAUACCAUCGGAUGUGCCCAGAUGGGAGUGGCGAGUAGGUGGGGUAACGGCUCACCUAGGCGACGAUCCCUAGCUGGUCUGAGAGGAUGACCAGCCACACUGGAACUGAGACACGGUCCAGACUCCGACGGGAGGCAGCAGUGGGGAAGAGUGCACAAUGGGCGCAAGCCUGAUGCAGCCAUGCGGCGUGUAUGAAGAAGGCCUUCGGGUUGUAAAGUACUUUCAGCGAGGAGGCGUUACUCGCAGAAGAAGCACCGGCUAACUCCGUGCCAGCAGCCGCGGUAAUAC
rnacentral:rRNA from 1 species